GACCUUUUCUUUUGCGCCGAGCCUCCCUAUAUUCGACGCGUCAGCUUGACUGACUAUGGCGAUAAACUGCCGAUGAAAUAAGCCAUUCGGACCCGGGGGCGGUACCCGGCGCCUCCACCAAAAGCCGCCGCGCAAUGAGCGACGGUUUUUGCUGGGGGCGAAAUAGGAUCGACGAGGGUGUAAAGAUCGGACUUUUGCUCGGCAUUGUACCACCGUUAUCGGGCUAAACUUGUAGUUGCAAACGACAACUAUGCGGAAGCACGUCUCGCUGCUUAAUGCGGCGCGAUAGCUUCAAAUCAAGUCCUAGCGGUUCGCACUGCUAGGCGGGGUUCGGAGGUACCUGGCAACAGAAACCUCCACU
rfam:Aminobacter sp. Root100 contig_1, whole genome shotgun sequence.